CCCAUUCUGUGCUGGAAUAGGAAAGCACCUCAUCUACCCCUCUUCAGUGUUCACAGUAUUUACGGUCACUGGGAUGACGGUUGAGGGAGAUGAGUCAUUCGGUGACAUGUAACCAAAGAGAAGGGUCAUCAGUAGCACUCCAGAUUGACUUCUCUUAAGUACUGUUUGUGAAUGUAUCUUAGCUAAUCCAUCAGUUGGCUAGCGUCUAGCAACAACCUUCCCAUUAUUUUUGACACUUUUUAAAAUUAUAAUAAUCCAUGUAUUUGAUGGUGACUCUAUUAUUUGGAAAUGUUGGUAUACAAAACAGCUCUUAUCAAAUGAUGUAAAUUGAGUAAUUGCUUUUAUCCUUGCUUUUGUUUUUAGAACCAGUUGUGCAAUUCCUGAAGAAAUAUCAUCAUAGGUGGCCAUAUGGUAGAGUAGGAAGAUCUAGUAGGAUUACUAGAAACGAGGACAUUCUACUUAGCUGCAGCUUUCAAAAAGGCAGUAUACACUUAAGGCAGAGCUGCUGGCAAGGAUUCUGACCACAACAUCCCACCGAGCACUGGGGAUAACUUUCCUUCCAGACAAAUACCAACUAACCUCAGUCUACAAUCAGCUGUCCACAUUGGAAGAAACCAGUCAGAAAACUGCUGUUCCAUAAUCACAGAAUCAAGAGAACCGCGUAAGUAAAGUGACAGCCUAUUAACUCUGGUUUGGAAAGCAUGAAGAGGACUUUUGAUGGAGC
rnacentral:lncRNA from 1 species